AAUGAACGUUGGCGGCAUGGAUUAGGCAUGCAAGUCGAGCGAGAAGUGUAGCAAUACACGGAAAGCGGCGGAAGGGAGAGUAAUACGUGGGAAUCUGCCCUUAGACCUGGGAUAGCAGCGGGAAACUGCUGGUAAUACCAGAUAAUGUCUAUGGACCAAAGGUGUGAUUCCGUCUAGGGAUGAGCCCACGUCCUAUUAGCUAGUUGGUAGGGUAAUGGCCUACCAAGGCGAUGAUGGGUAGCGGGUGUGAGAGCAUGACCCGCCUCACUGGGCAUGAGACACUGCCCAGACACCUACGGGUGGCUGCAGUCGGUAGUCUUCGGCAAUGGGCGCAAGCCUGACCGAGCGAUGCCGCGUGCGGGAUGAAGGCCUUCGGGUUGUAAACCGCUGUCGAGGGGGAGCAACUUCCAUAGAGUUAUCUUUAUGGAUUGAGUGAUCCCUGGAGGAAGGACGGGCCAAGUUCGUGCCAGCAGCCGCGGUAA
rnacentral:rRNA from 1 species